CCUUAGGGAUCAUCCAGUCCCACUGCCUGCCCAGCGCUACCGCUGUAACCCCUGAACCACCGCACCGCGUCACCCAGCGCCUCGUGAACACCUCGAAGGACGGUGACUCCACCACCUCCCCGGGCAGCCCCUGCCAACGCCUGACCACCCCAACAGUGACAACUUUUUUAAGGCUACUGUGAAAAUCCCGAUCCCUGUCUUGGUUGCAUUGAAUUCAUGUUUCCUGAAGAUCUGUAAUGAGGCCGGAGUUGUUUGGCUGCAGGUGGAUGUACAGUAUGUUCUCCUGGAUGAGCUGUUCCUGUGAAAGACUGUCUAUGUUAGUGUGGCAUGUUUGUGGUGAUAAAAUCCCACACUCCCUCCCUUGCUUUGAAGAAUAACAACUCUCAUCUGAGACAAGAGGAGAUAUUUUUCUUUCUCUUUUGUUCUGCGUUUUCAGUGUCAACUCAGAAGGGGUGACAGAAAAAAGCCAGUCACUUGAAGAUGGACGUGUUUUAUUGUGGAAGUUUCUGGCCUGAUCAUUUACACACGAUAGUGUCUGGUUGAACAGCGCCAGUGUCUUCUCUAGGUGCUUUUGUGUGCUGGGAGUUGGGGUUUGAUGAGACUUUUUUGGGAAGACCAAUAAAAAUGUUGAUUCCAAAA